CACUGCCAGCACCAUCCCCACUUCCUCCCCUGCGUCUGGCUCACAGUCUCCAUCACAAACCCCCUCGUCUGUGGCCAUUCUUUCAUCCAACGAACACCUGUUCUCCCUCAGUUUAUCGCCCACUAUCUGUCUGAAAUCUGGGGUGCCAUCCUCGCGACAUCGGCAAACGGACAGCAAACUACACUGCAUUGCUGGGGGAAGCCUUUUGAAGAAGCGGUCAGGAAGAAGCCAUUAGAAGAUGGAUACACCAUGGUGAUAAUGGAACACACAUGGUCAUCACAAGACUGAACAUUUGGCACAGGCAGGAUGCAUUCACGUGUAAACCACAUUCUUUCUGCAUUUUACAGCACAAAUCGAGAUAUGUCAGAUCAGUGAAUAAAAUGUGGCACACUCCAGCCCGGUGUUAAAUCUACAGAUGAACCCUGUAAGUACAAAAAAAGAAA